rnacentral:rRNA from 1 species
GAGGCGAACCGGGGGAACUGAAACAUCUAAGUACCCCGAGGAAAAGAAAUCAACCGAGAUUCCGAAAGUAGCGGCGAGCGAAAUUGGACUAGCCCUUAAGCUUUACACGCGUUAGACGAACGGUCUGGAAAGUCCGACGAUACAGGGUGAUAGUCCCGUAGUUGACGACGUGUGUUCAGUGAAAUCGAGUAGGGCGGGACACGUGAUAUCCUGUCUGAAUAUGGGGGGACCAUCCUCCAAGGCUAAAUACUACUGACUGACCGAUAGUGAACCAGUACCGUGAGGGAAAGGCGAAAAGAACCCCUGUGAGGGGAGUGAAAUAGAACCUGAAACCGUGUACGUACAAGCAGUAGGAGCAGGCUUUGUCCUGUGACUGCGUACCUUUUGUAUAAUGGGUCAGCGACUUAUAUUCAGUGGCAAGGUUAACCAUCUAGGGGAGCCGUAGGGAAACCGAGUCUUAACUGGGCGUUCAGUCUCUGGAUAUAGACCCGAAACCAGGUGAUCUAGCCAUGGGCAGGUUGAAGGUUGAGUAACAUCAACUGGAGGACCGAACCGACUAAUGUUGAAAAAUUAGCGGAUGACUUGUGGCUAGGGGUGAAAGGCCAAUCAAACCUGGAGAUAGCUGGUUCUCCCCGAAAGCUAUUUAGGUAGCGCCUCGGACGAAUACUACUGGGGGUAGAGCACUGUUAAGGCUAGGGGGUCAUCCCGACUUACCAACCCUUUGCAAACUCCGAAUACCAGUAAGUACUAUCCGGGAGACACACGGCGGGUGCUAACGUCCGUCGUGGAGAGGGAAACAACCCAGACCGCCAGCUAAGGUCCCAAAUUACUACUAAGUGGGAAACGAUGUGGGAAGGCUCAGACAGCCAGGAUGUUGGCUUAGAAGCAGCCAUCAUUUAAAGAAAGCGUAAUAGCUCACUGGUCGAGUCGGCCUGCGCGGAAGAUGUAACGGGGCUAA